AGAAAAAAGAAAAGGUCAACUUAUCAUUUUAAUUGAAGUGAAGAACAUUUAUUAAAAUAUAAAAUAAACCCUUAACACAUAAACGGAAACCAAGCAAUAUUGGAGCAUUACAAUAUAAAAUAAAGCAAAUAUUAGUACGUACGGCAUGGUUCUGUGUAAUCGUUAAAGCAAUAGUUGUUCUUCACGGUGGCUUCAUCAAGGUUGCAGCGGUUCUCUUUGCCAUAAUCACAACAGAAAGAGAACCAUGAAAGCUCGAACCCAUAUAC